CUAUGGGCCCUAGUUCCUUAUUCCCUAUCUAGUUCACUAUGGGCCCUAGUUCCUUAUUCCCUAUCUAGUUCACUAUGGGCCCUAGUUCCUUAUUCCCUAUCUAGUUCACUAUGGGCCCUAGUUCCUUAUUCCCUAUCUAGUUCACUAUGGGCCCUAGUUCCUUAUUCCCUAUCUAGUUCACUAUGGGCCCUAGUUCCUUAUUCCCUAUCUAGUGCACUAUGGGCCCUAGUUCCUUAUUCCCUAUCUAGUGCACUAUGGGCCCUAGUUCCUUAUUCCCUAUCUAGUGCACUAUGGGCCCUAGUUCCUUAUUCCCUAUCUAGUGCACUAUGGGCCCUAGUUCCUUAUUCCCUAUCUAGUUCACUAUGGGCCCUAGUUCCUUAUUCCCUAUCUAGUUCACUAUGGGCCCUAGUUCCUUAUUCCCUAUCUAGUGCACUAUGGGCCCUAGUUCCUUAUUCCCUAUCUAGUUCACUAUGGGCCCUAGUUCCUUAUUCCCUAUCUAGUGCACUAUGGGCCCUAGUUCCUUAUUCCCUAUCUAGUGCACUAUGGGCCCUAGUUCCUUAUUCCCUAUCUAGUUCACUAUGGGCCCUAGUUCCUUAUUCCCUAUCUAGUGCACUAUGGGCCCUAGUUCCUUAUUCCCUAUCUAGUUCACUAUGGGCCCUAGUUCCUUAUUCCCUAUCUAGUUCACUAUGGGCCCUAGUUCCUUAUUCCCUAUCUAGUGCACUAUGGGCCCUAGUUCCUUAUUCCCUAUCUAGUUCACUAUGGGCCCUAGUUCCUUAUUCCCUAUCUAGUGCACUAUGGGCCCUAGUUCCUUAUUCCCUAUCUAGUGCACUAUGGGCCCUAGUUCCUUAUUCCCUAUCUAGUUCACUAUGGGCCCUAGUUCCUUAUUCCCUAUCUAGUGCACUAUGGGCCCUAGUUCCUUAUUCCCUAGUUCCUUAUUCCCUAUGUAGUGCACUAUGGGCCCUAGUUCCUUAUUCCAUAUCUAGUUCACUAUGGGCCCUAGUUCCUUAUUGCCUAUCUAGUUCACUAUGGGCCCUAGUUCCUUAUUCCCUAUCUAGUUCACUAUGGGCCCUAGUUCCUUAUUCCCUAUCUAGUUCACUAUGGGCCCUAGUUCCUUAUUCCCUAUCUAGUUCACUAUGGGCCUUAGUUCCUUAUUCCCUAUCUAGUUCACUAUGGGCCCUAGUUCCUUAUUCCCUAUCUAGUUCACUAUGGGCCUUAGUUCCUUAUUCCCUAUCUAGUGCACUAUGGGCCCUAGUUCCUUAUUCCCUAUCUAGUGCACUAUGGGCCCUAGUUCCUUAUUCCCUAUCUAGUUCACUAUGGGCCCUAGUUCCUUAUUCCCUAUCUAGUGCACUAUGGGCCCUAGUUCCUUAUUCCCUAGUUCCUUAUUCCCUAUCUAGUGCACUAUGGGCCCUAGUUCCUUAUUCCCUAUCUAGUGCACAGCCUCACCUCAUGCCAGUCUGUCCAUUAACCCACUAG
rnacentral:lncRNA from 1 species